AUUGUCUUGCCCACAAACACAGACACUCCUCAAGGAUUUGUGCCUGGUUUGGGGGCGGAAAUUGGCCUCCCGUGACUUGUUGCGCGGUUGGCAAAAAAAUGAGUCUCCGGCGACGGAUGUCGUGACAUCGGUGGUUGUAAAAGACCCUCUUGAAUUGUUGCGUGAAUCCGCGUAUCUUAGCGAGCUCUAGGACCCUUAGGCGGCACACACUCUGUGCGCUUCGA
rnacentral:misc_RNA from 1 species